rnacentral:rRNA from 1 species
UACGGGGGGGGUAAGCGUUAUCCGGAAUUAUUGGGCGUAAAGAGCUCGUAGGCGGUUUGUCGCGUCUGCCGUGAAAGUCCGGGGCUCAACUCCGGAUCUGCGGUGGGUACGGGCAGACUAGAGUGAUGUAGGGGAGACUGGAAUUCCUGGUGUAGCGGUGAAAUGCGCAGAUAUCAGGAGGAACACCGAUGGCGAAGGCGGCCACCUGGGCCGACCCUGACGCUGAGGCGCGAAGGCGUGGGGAGCGAACGGG